AAGAGUUUCUUCUUGGGAAAACUUCCACUGCCAGCCAUCUUUUCAAGAUCACUGCCAACAAGCUCCUCCUUGGAAAAAGAUUUAUUUUUCUUGGGUUUGGGGAAAGAGACAGAGGAGUGGCACAUCCCAUCCUCCCAAGGAGGUUUCUGGGGCUUUUUCUUCUUUUGGGUCUUUUUUUUUUUUUUUUUUUUUUUGUCUUUUGUAGGGCCGCACCUGCAGCAUAUGGAGGUUCCCAGGCUAGGGGUCCAAUUGGAGCUGUAGCCGCUGGCCUACCAGAGCCAUAGCAACACGGAAUCCGAGCUGCGUCUGUGACCUAUACCAUAGCUCAUGGCAACACCGGAUCCUUAACCCACUGAGAGAGGCCAGGGAUGGAACCCUCAACCUCAUGGUUCUUAGUCAGAUUCGUUUCCGCUGCGCCACAACAGGAACUCCUGAGAUCUUUCUCUUGUCCCCUCACACUUCCUGGAACACCACUGCUGAUCUCUGAAGAGGCGAGGGCUGUGGCAGCCAGCUGUCUCUUCCUUUUUCUAGCAUUUCUUCUGAUUCUCUAGCUUACUAGUCGCCUCAGCAGUGUCUUCCUCUGCCAGAACCAUUGCCUGCUUCUUGGUAUCCGGAUUCUUUCAUGGACUCUCUCCAGGCUCACAGAAGGAUAGCUGUUCCUCCAGCUGUUCUAGAAACUUCUCUACAAAUACACUCAGGGUACCUCAGAGAAGCAACUGAUUCAUGAGGCAACACCGCAUUUGCCUGCCAGAUGAGUCCCUGUCGCCUAGUGUGCAAGCUGCCUCUCCAAACAGAACACUUCAUGUGGGCUCCACUAUGUGUAUCGACCAUGUGGAAAUUUCACGGCAUCACGUUUCUCAUGGAUCCAGACUGCUGGCUGGACAGGUCCUUAAGGAUUGUCUAGGUCCCUCUCAACGCCCAGCUGAGAAAAGUCAGACUCAGAGAGAUGAAGUGCCCUGUGGAAAGACACUGUAACUCAAACCUGUGUGUCCAGAUACCAGCCUAGACCCUCCCUGGUGCCACACCGCCUCUCAUUUCCAUAGCUCUGCUGCCCUUUGCUUCAGCUGUGCAAACUCUACUUAUUUGGGCAAUCAUGACGGUUUCAUUCUUUUGAAACUUCUCCAAUCAUUAUGCAGUUUCCAAUUCUGAAGGGUAAAAGUAUUAGGUGGCACCAAAUGAUGUGGGAGGGGUGCCACCGAUCCCACUGCUGAAGCACAAGCUGUGCUUCUUAUUUCAUAGAACUUUCCA
rnacentral:lncRNA from 9 species